AUACGGAGGACGCGAGCGUUAUCCGGAUUCAUUGGGUUUAAAGGGUGCGCAGGCGGCCGUGCAAGUCAGCGGUGAAAGCCCGGGGCUCAACCCCGGAAGUGCCGUUGAUACUGCGUGGCUGGAAUGCGGUCGAGGCGGGCGGAAAGCGGCGGGUAGCGGGGAAAUGCGUAGAUAUGCCACAGAACGCCGAUAGCGGAGGCAGCUCGCCAGGCCUGCAUUGACGCUCGGGCACGAAAGCGUGGGGAUCGAACAGGAUGAGAUACCCUGGUAGUCCACGCCGUAAACGAUGGGCGCUCGUCGUCGGCGACAGACAGUCGGCGGCCAAGCGAAAGCGAUAAGCGCCCCACCUGGGGAGUACGGUCGCAAGGCUGAAACUUAAAGGAAUUGACGGGG
rnacentral:rRNA from 1 species